rnacentral:rRNA from 1 species
GACGAACCGUGCGAACGUUAUUCGGAAUCAUUGGGCUUAAAGGGCGCGUAGGCGGUCAGCACAAGUCAGUUGUGAAAUCUCCGAGCUUAACUCGGAAAGGUCAACUGAUACUGUGCGACUAGAGUGCAGAAGGGGCAACUGGAAUUCUCGGUGUAGCGGUGAAAUGCGUAGAUAUCGAGAGGAACACCUGCGGCGAAGGCGGGUAGCUGGGCCGACACUGACGCUGAGGCGCGAAAGCCAGGGGAGCGAACGGG